rnacentral:misc_RNA from 1 species
AGUCGUAACAAGGUUUCCGUAGGUGAACCUGCGGAAGGAUCAUUACUAAACAAAUCCAAAAAUAAUGUUGAACCGUGUGGUGAUUAGUGAUUGGUUGUGCGUGGUGCGGAUGAUGAUUGGUGCGCUACGUUGUUGGUGCUUGUGGGUAUGAGAUAGGCAAUGUGCGCACACCGUGUGUGUGUGUUUAUUGCCCAGCCAUCCCCUCGUAUCAGCAGCAUGCAUUUGUUAUCAAUCAGAUUCUUUCUUCUCACAAACAAUCAAUCACAAAUCACAACAAUUAUAAAACCCAAUCUUGAUGUGCGAAUGGACAACAUAUAACAAAUUAAAUUUAUAAAAAGCAUAACUUUUAACAAUGGAUCUCUUGGCUCUU